AGCAUGAUGGCUGCUACCUUGAUGUGGGCAGCCAUGGUCUCUGCUUGUCUGGGAUCCAGCAUGGCCCAGAUGGUCACUCAGCCUCAACCAGAAAUGUCUGUGCAAGAGACAGAGACUGUGACCCUGGCCUGCUCCUAUGACACCAGUGACAGGGAUUACUAUUUGUUCUGGUACAAACAGCCUCCCAGUGGGCAGAUGAUUCUCAUUAUCCGCCAAGAAGCUUAUAAGGAACAAAAUGCAACGAAUAAUCGCUUCUCUGCGAACUUCCAGAAAGCAAGCAAACACUUUGGCCUCAGGAUCUCAGACUCCCAGCUGGAGGAUGCAGCAAUGUAUUUCUGUGCUCUCAUGGAGGCACAGUGAGAUGAGUGACAGGGAGAGGCGUACAGAAACCUCAGACCACAGCACUGGUGUCAGGAGGGGAGGGGAGAAGUGGUUGGGGAAACAGGAACAUAGAAAAUCAUUGUCUUCUUUUGGGAAUAAAAGCUCCUUCUGUCUGAGUAUAAGAA